rnacentral:rRNA from 1 species
CACUCCUGCGGGAGGCAGCAGUGGGGAAUAUUGGACAAUGGGCGCAAGCCUGAUCCAGCCAUGCCGCGUGAGUGAUGAAGGCCCUAGGGUUGUAAAGCUCUUUCACCGGUGAAGAUAAUGACGGUAACCGGAGAAGAAGCCCCGGCUAACUUCGUGCCAGCAGCCGCGGUAAUACGAAGGGGGCUAGCGUUGUUCGGAUUUACUGGGCGUAAAGCGCACGUAGGCGGACUAUUAAGUCAGGGGUGAAAUCCCGGGGCUCAACCCCGGAACUGCCUUUGAUACUGGUAGUCUUGAGUUCGAGAGAGGUGAGUGGAAUUCCGAGUGUAGAGGUGAAAUUCGUAGAUAUUCGGAGGAACACCAGUGGCGAAGGCGGCUCACUGGCUCGAUACUGACGCUGAGGUGCGAAAGCGUGGGGAGCAAACAGGAUUAGAAACCCUUGUAGUCC